UACGUAGGGGGCUAGCGUUAUCCGGAAUUACUGGGCGUAAAGGGUGCGUAGGUGGUUUCUUAAGUCAGAGGUGAAAGGCUACGGCUCAACCGUAGUAAGCCUUUGAAACUGGGGAACUUGAGUGCAGGAGAGGAGAGUGGAAUUCCUAGUGUAGCGGUGAAAUGCGUAGAUAUUAGGAGGAACACCAGUUGCGAAGGCGGCUCUCUGGACUGUAACUGACACUGAGGCACGAAAGCGUAGGGAGCAAACAGG
rnacentral:rRNA from 1 species